AUGCACAUUUAUUUGCGCGUAUUACAGAUGAUUUUGCAAUAUAGUUCACUACUUACAGUAUAAAUCGUAUACAUUUGAAGAUAAAAGCCCCUGGAUAAAAGGGUGAAAGUUACCUACAAAAUUCGCCAUUACAAGCUCAGGAUGAUGAUGCUGCUCCACAGACAGUUAUUUGGCACCGCGAUAUUGUUGCUGCAUAAUGCGCAUAAUGUCAAAGUACCUGAUUCGUUGAGAAGACUUGAAGAGAAUGCACCGAAUUCAACCAAUAGCAAAACAGCAGCACUGAAUACAAAAAUUAUAUUUUAAAAAAAAUAUUAUAACAAUUAGUUAGAGUUGACUGAAAUGAUACUCAAACAUAGAAUUCUACCGUGACCAUAUGCCCGGAUCCACAAUGGAUGUAUUUGCAUUGACAAUUGUUUCUUGAGAAUUAUAAUUUCGUAAAAAAUUGAAAUUAUCUUGGGAAUUUUUCUAUAUUAUUAAACUUAUCAAAUAGAUAAAACCAUUUUUAUCCACAAA